rnacentral:lncRNA from 1 species
GUGUCUUUGUCCUCAUACUUGUACUUUCCAGUCAGCAGCCCUCCAGCCAGUGGAUUGUAGGCAUAGAACCGCAGCCCGUAGUAUCUCAGGCAAGGGAACAGCUCCAGUUCUACCUGGCGGGUGGUUGCGUUGUACAUGCCCUGGUACACAGUUGGCAUCAGCCAGUUGUUGCAUUUGCAGAUGGUGCAGAUUUCUGCCACCUCCCACGCUGCGUAGUUCGACAGGCCGAGUUCUUUAAACUUUCCCUCCUUGUGCAGCUCAUUGCAGGCACGCAGUGUCUCUUCCACCGGUGUCCCGUGGUCAGGGGCGUGGAGGUAGAAGAGUUCAACGCUCGUCCUCUGCAGCCUCUCCAGGGAUGUGUUCAGCUGUGACCGCACACUGUCCGGCUUCAGAGUGUUCCCUUCCCAGGGGUUGGCCUUGGUGGCCACUUCCACUGGCAAAGGGGAAGGAGGAAUGAGCAGCGAUGCUCCCAACCCCGGAUGGGGAUGGGGCACAGUGUGCUCAGGGCGCUUUCAAAGUAUGCUCUUCUCA